ACUCAACCCUAUCUUUGAUAGCAUUCAAUUCCUCUUGUGAUUGGAAGAACUACAUGUCCAAUGCAGCCUUUGCCCCUACAAAACGACUCAUAUCAAACUUAAGGCUGCUAGGAAGUUUUAUUCGCAUCACAUAGAUUCCAAAUUGGCAUUGUUGGCAUCUCAAACCUAGCACAGUGAAAGUCAUAACAAUUCAAAAAUAGGAUCUUUAAGUUUCAUAAACCAUACCAUUGAAUUUGGAUGUUCCUGCGCACUAUUUCUCUCCAAUUUCCUGAAGCUCUUGAAGACCUCUUGUAUGUCUUCUACCCAAUGACUCCUAUUUGGAUAUUAACACUUAGAUUGAGGAAGAUGGAGACUACAAUUCUUUUAGGUGUGAGAUUAAGAGUUAGCCUAACCCUAAACUCUAAAAGCUUUUGUAUAGGCUAGAAAUGGACAAGUGGCUAGGCCCAAAAUAUGGGCUAAGGUCACUUAAUCUAGCUUAUUGGUCCUAUUUAAUUAAUUAGCCAUAAGUUGGGUUUCAAUUAAUCAAAUAGCCCAAUAAAACCCAAGAAUUAAUUAUUGAUAUGUUAUGGUGAAACUUCGUGAAACUUAAAGUAGCUUAACCCAUAGAAUAUAAUUAAUUUAUUUAAAAUAUAAUUUACUCAAUAAAAAGUACCACAAAUAAUAUGAGCUUGAGCCUAUGGCAUCUUGUCUACAAAAUUCAACUCUAGCCCACUACCUACUCAGAUAUGCUUAGGUAGGCCUAAGUUAAGAAAGGUCCAAGUGGCCUAUAUAUUCACCCAAGCCCGUGUCAUCAUGCCAUUCUAAGCCUUUUCAAGGCUUCCUUAACAAGGUUGAGUGGGGGCCAUACCAAUUAGCUUAGAUAUGCCUAAUUAAGUUAGGCUAUGCUCAUGUGAACUAACUCAAGCUUGCUUAUCUCAGUCUAGGCCUGAGCUGCUAGGGCAAGGAUGAUCCAUGGCAAUCAUUAAGGCCAAAUUGCCCAAAUUUGCAUAUUUAUGUUGUUAUUUUGGUCUAGUCACUCCAAUUAAGUCCCACCGAGGCCCUUUUCCCUUUAAAGGAUCACAAUAUUUCCAAAUUUCCUUUUAGAUAAGGCUUACCGACUAUAAAAU
rnacentral:lncRNA from 1 species